UACAGAGGGUGCGAGCGUUAAUCGGAAUUACUGGGCGUAAAGGGUGCGUAGGUGGUUACGUAAGUUAAUUGUGAAAGUCCUGGGCUUAACCUGGGGAUUGCAGUUAAUACUGCGUGGCUAGAGUGUUGUAGAGGUAAGCGGAAUUUCCGGUGUAGCGGUGAAAUGCGUAGAUAUCGGAAGGAACAUCGAUGGCGAAGGCAGCUUUCUGGACAAAUACUGACACUGAGGCACGAAAGCGUGGGGAGCAAACAGG
rnacentral:rRNA from 1 species